GGGAGCCGGAUGAGUCGAGAGGGUCAAGUCCGGUUCCGAGAGAGCCGGAGGGUGACGGUAAUCCGGCUCACCCGGUUGCUGCAUCGCUUGUUACCCAGCGAAGCCGAGGUCGCCGGGCUACUCGCAC
rnacentral:ncRNA from 1 species